rnacentral:rRNA from 1 species
UGGGGAAUAUUGGGCAAUGGGCGAAAGCCUGACCCAGCGACGCCGCGUGGGUGAUGAAGGCCUUCGGGUCGUAAAGCCCUGUCAGGAGGAAAGAACGAUCUUGUGGUGAACACCCACGAGAUGUGACGGUACCUCCGAAGGAAGCACCGGCCAAUUCCGUGCCAGCAGCCGCGGUAAGACGGAAGGUGCAAGCGUUGCUCGGAAUCACUGGGCGUAAAGGGUGCGUAGGCGGCUUCUUAAGUCUGGUGUGAAAGCCCAGGGCUCAGCUCUGGAAGUGCAUUAGAUACUGGGAAGCUUGAGUACCGGAGGGGAGAGUGGAAUUCCUGGUGUAGCGGUGAAAUGCGUAGAUAUCAGGAGGAAUACCGGUGGCGAAAGCGACUCUCUGGACGGUUACUGACGCUGAGGCACGAAAGCGUGGGGAGCAAACAGGAUUAGAUACCCCUGUAGUCCCUGAGCGGGCUGGCAAGGCGCAU